AGAUAAUCUGUGUUUAUCAUGGAUAACCAGGUGCAAUAACACAUCAAAACUCAAUUAAACAUUGACCUACAGCAACAAUUGCUACAGAAGUGACAUUUAUUGAUAUUCUGCUGUAUUUACAGGUUGAACAUUGUAAAACUCCAAAGUGAAUGACCACUUGGCAGAAAGCACAGGAGUGCACAUUAAAUCUACAUUUCCAAUGCAUCAGAGUCUCUGCUAACACAAAUUAUAAAAGCAAGAAUUACAGGUAUGUUAGGAAUUGUCUCAAAAGUCGUAAGCCAAAGAAAAAAAAAGGCCUUUGUUUUGCAAGAUGGUUUUUAUACAAAGUUGCAACAUGAUCUUUUAGUUUUACACUACAGACCUGUUCCGUGAAAACCCCUGGGGAGCCCAAAAAGUUGGUGUGCGAAAGGAAAGGAUACUACAACACCGAGAGUAAAGACUGUUAAAAGUUAAUACUUGUGCCACUUCUAAAUUCCCAAUGACACCUCGGAGCCUGGACUGCAGCCACCCCUUUUCCUCCACAGGCCCCUGGGGGACUGCAGGAGCACAGCCACCCUGCUGACACACCUUCAGAGGUGCUGUCACCUCAGCUCCAGAGUCACCCUGCGUGCCAGACAGGACAGGGGGACAGGGAUGGACUGGGAUGGACAGCAGGACACGGGGGNNNNNNNNNNUGGGUUGUACAGGACACGAUGCACACAGGCUGGACAGGAUGUGGCACGUGGGGACUGUACAGGACAUGGGCUUACAUGGGCUGUGCAGGACACAGAGCACACACUGUGCAGGACAGGCUGUCACAGACUGUGCAGGACAGGCUGUCACACACUGCACACACAGGGUGUCACACACUGCACACACAGGGUGUCACACACACUGCACAGGCUGUCACACUGCACAGGGUGUCACACUCUGCCCAGCACAGGCAGAGCCCGGGCAGCUCCCAGGCUGGAGGAGGAACUAAAGCAAGCCUGGCCCCUGCUGGUCCCGGGACGGCUCCUGCUGCCCAAACACCACAAACUCCGGCUGAACGGCUCCAUCAGCACUCACUGCAAGAGCUGCUUCAAACAUUAGCCACUAAUGAGUCAACAAUUACAGAAUUCUGCGUUAAUUAUUAAAAUUUUACACCUAAAAACAAAUUGAAAGAAAUGCUUCUCCUUUUUUUUUUUUUUUACUUUUUCCAACAGUACUUUUAUUUAUUUAUUUUAAAGCAGGUGAUUAUUUUUUCUUCUGCUCCAGAGCCUUGAUUCACUUCCUGCAGGUGUCCUGCUGCUUCUUGGGGGGGAUUUCACUAAUGCAGGAAGACAUUUGCCAGAAAACAUCUGUUGGAGAAGGAUAUUGAACACCGACACUGCAGUCAGAGGGUUAUUUUGGAUAACAGGAGGAUGUUGUUCACACAGCACAGGAUGUCUAAGGGCUUAUGAAGUGUCUCAGCACACAAUGAUGUGACUCCAGCAAAAUGCUCAGGAAUCUGUGCGUAUUUUAUGGGAUAACACCAGGAUUGUGUCCAUUACUGCACAGAAAGCUGGAAUACUAAAUACUAAUACUAAACUCCAGCUUUUCGCCAGAUUCAUUUCACCAGGUUGCAUUUUCUUGUUUGCACUCAUUAUUGCUCUCCUAAUUUUCUAAAAAUUAUCCCUGCUCUGAAAUAAAAACUAAUCCUUCACUGUGCCCUUUGCA
ensembl:lncRNA